GCCUCCAUAGCUCAGUGGCAGAGCACUGGUCUUGAAAACCAGGAGUCGUGAGAUCGAUCCGCACUGGGUGCU
rnacentral:tRNA from 1 species